rnacentral:rRNA from 1 species
GGAGCUUGCUCCACCGGAAAAAGAAGAGUGGCGAACGGGUGAGUAACACGUGGGUAACCUGCCCAUCAGAAGGGGAUAACACUUGGAAACAGGUGCUAAUACCGUAUAACAAUCGAAACCGCAUGGUUUUGAUUUGAAAGGCGCUUUCGGGUGUCGCUGAUGGAUGGACCCGCGGUGCAUUAGCUAGUUGGUGAGGUAACGGCUCACCAAGGCCACGAUGCAUAGCCAACCUGAGAGGGUGAUCGGCCACAUUGGGACUGAGACACGGCCCAAACUCCUACGGGAGGCAGCAGUAGGGAAUCUUCGGCAAUGGACGAAAGUCUGACCGAGCAACGCCGCGUGAGUGAAGAAGGUUUUCGGAUCGUAAAACUCUGUUGUUAGAGAAGAACAAGGAUGAGAGUAACUGUUCAUCCCUUGACGGUAUCUAACCAGAAAGCCACGGCUAACUACGUGCCAGCAGCCGCGGUAAUACGUAGGUGGCAAGCGUUGUCCGGAUUUAUUGGGCGUAAAGCGAGCGCAGGCGGUUUCUUAAGUCUGAUGUGAAAGCCCCCGGCUCAACCGGGGAGGGUCAUUGGAAACUGGGAGACUUGAGUGCAGAAGAGGAGAGUGGAAUUCCAUGUGUAGCGGUGAAAUGCGUAGAUAUAUGGAGGAACACCAGUGGCGAAGGCGGCUCUCUGGUCUGUAACUGACGCUGAGGCUCGAAAGCGUGGGGAGCAAACAGGAUUAGAUACCCUGGUAGUCCACGCCGUAAACGAUGAGUGCUAAGUGUUGGAAGGGUUUCCGCCCUUCAUUGCUGCAGCU